GUUGUUGGGUAGGGGAGCGUUCUGUAAGCCUGUGAAGGUGGCCUGUGAGGGUUGCUGGAGGUAUCAGAAGUGCGAAUGCUGACAUAAGUAACGAUAAAGCGGGUGAAAAGCCCGCUCGCCGGAAGACCAAGGGUUCCUGUCCAACGUUAAUCGGGGCAGGGUGAGUCGACCCCUAAGGCGAGGCCGAAAGGCGUAGUCGAUGGGAAACGGGUUAAUAUUCCCGUACUUGGUGUUACUGCGAAGGGGGGACGGAGAAGGCUAUGUUGGCCGGGCGACGGUUGUCCCGGUUUAAGCGUGUAGG
rnacentral:rRNA from 1 species